AUUGAACGCUGGCGGAAUGCUUUACACAUGCAAGUCGAACGGCAGCACGGGAGCUUGCUCCUGGUGGCGAGUGGCGAACGGGUGAGUAACAUAUCGGAACGUAUCCAAUAAUGGGGGAUAACUAAGCGAAAGCUUGGCUAAUACCGCAUACGCCCUGAGGGGGAAAGCUAGGGAUCUUCGGACCUGGCGUUAAUGGAGCGGCCGAUAUCUGAUUAGCUAGUUGGUGAGGUAAAGGCUCACCAAGGCGACGAUCAGUAGCUGGUCUGAGAGGACGACCAGCCACACUGGAACUGAGACACGGUCCAGACGCCUACGGGAGGCAGCAGUGGGGAAUUUUGGACAAUGGGCGCAAGCCUGAUCCAGCCAUUCCGCGUGAGUGAAGAAGGCCUUCGGGUUGUAAAGCUCUUUCGCAAGGGAAGAAAGAUUACGCUCUAACAUAGCGUGAUUAUGACGGUACCUUGAUAAGAAGCACCGGCUAACUACGUGCCAGCCGCCGCAGUAAUAC
rnacentral:rRNA from 1 species